rnacentral:SRP_RNA from 2 species
GCCGGGCAUGGUGGUGUGUGCCUGUAAUUCCAGCUACUUGGGAGGCUGAGGUGGGAGAAUCACCUGAGCCCAGGAGAUUGAGGCUGCAGUGAGCUGAGAUUGGGCCACUGCACUCCAGCCUGGGCAACCAGAGUGAGACCCUGUCUCAA